UGGCCUGUAUGCAGUUGUGGGUGAAGUUUAUUAAGGCAAUACUGAAUACCAGAGCAUUUCAACAAGGCUUACCACACAGGCCCACUUAGACCAGAAAUCCCAAGUCCAUUAGCUACAGGCUGAUAUUCAGGGACAUCGGUGUAAACAAAGAAGUGGGAUAUGAACUAUAUCCCUGAUUUUUUUUUCUUUUUUUUUUUUUUUGAGACUAAGUCUCACUCUUGUCCCCCAGGCUGGAGUGCAAUGGCGCGAUCUUGGCUCACUGCAACCUCCGCCUCUCAGGUUCAAGAGAUUCUCUUGCCUCAGCCUCCUAACUGGGAUAACAGACACCUGCUACCAUGCCCGGCUCAUUUUUUUUUGUAUUUUUAGUAGAGACGGGGUUUCACCAUGUUGGCCUGGCUGGUCUCGAACACCUGACCUCAGGUGUUCCGCCCGCCUCAGCCUCCCAAAGUGCUGGGAUUACAGGUGUGAGCCACCGCACCCGGCCUAUAUUCCUGAUAUUUAACAAGGAAAA
rnacentral:lncRNA from 10 species